UACGGAGGGUGCAAGCGUUAUCCGGAUUCACUGGGUUUAAAGGGUGCGUAGGCGGGCAGGUAAGUCAGUGGUGAAAUCUCUGAGCUUAACUCAGAAACUGCCAUGGAUACUAUUUGUCUUGAAUAUUGUGGAGGUAAGCGGAAUAUGUCAUGUAGCGGUGAAAUGCUUAGAUAUGACAUAGAACACCAAUUGCGAAGGCAGCUUACUACACAGUUAUUGACGCUGAGGCACGAAAGCGUGGGGAUCAAACGGG
rnacentral:rRNA from 1 species